CUAGGAGCAGAUCCGGGGUAGAGGGAAAAGAGCUCCGGGCCAGGGGCUGCCGUCGCCGCCGUCGGGGAGUCAGCCCGCCAGCCCGCCAGCUCGUCAGCCCGCCAGCCAGCGCUUCGCGGGCCCUGUCGGUCCCGUUCUUGCGGCCCCAUAACUUUUUCUUGGUGUUCUAUGGCUUUAUGAAUGGAGGAGCCAACUCACAGACCUGGGCCAUUCGGGUGGUUUUAAGAAGUUUGAACUGCGGUUCAAUCCAGGGCAGUGCCUUGAGACACUGUUUGGAGAUCAGACCAAACAUUGUCUGGCUUGCACUGUAAAACUAGUUAGCUGAAGACGACUUCUCAGGUUUCUUCAGGAUGCCUGCAGCACUUGUGGAGAAUAGCCAGGUUAUCUGUGAAGUGUGGGCCAGUAAUCUAGAAGAAGAGAUGAGGAAGAUCCGAGAAAUCGUGCUCAGUUACAGUUAUAUUGCCAUGGACACAGAAUUUCCAGGUGUUGUGGUGCGACCAAUUGGUGAAUUUCGUA
rnacentral:lncRNA from 10 species